UACGGAGGGGGCUAGCGUUGUUCGGAAUUACUGGGCGUAAAGCGCACGUAGGCGGCUUUGUAAGUUAGAGGUGAAAGCCCAGAGCUCAACUCUGGAACUGCCUUUAAGACUGCAUCGCUUGAAUUGUGGAGAGGUAAGUGGAAUUCCGAGUGUAGAGGUGAAAUUCGUAGAUAUUCGGAAGAACACCAGUGGCGAAGGCGGCAGAUUGGGCCGGUAUUGACGCUCAGGCACGAAAGCAUGGGGAUCAAACAGG
rnacentral:rRNA from 1 species